rnacentral:rRNA from 1 species
UACGGAGGGUGCGAGCGUUGUCCGGAAUCAUUGGGCGUAAAGGGCGCGUAGGUGGCCACUUCAAGCGUGCGGUGAAAGCUCGGGGCUCAACCCCGAGUCGGCCGUGCGAACUGGGCUCACUGGAGCAUAGUAGAGGCAGGUGGAAUUCCGGGUGUAGCGGUGAAAUGCGCAGAUAUCAGGAGGAACACCGGUGGCGAAGGCGGGUCUCUGGGCCGAUACUGACGCUGAGGAGCGAAAGCGUGGGGAGCGAACAGG